UACGUAGGGACCGAGCGUUGUCCGGAAUCAUUGGGCGUAAAGAGCGUGUAGGCGGCCAUGUAGGUCCGUUGUGAAAACUCGAGGCUCAACCUCGAGACGCCGAUGGAAACCAUGUGGCUAGAGUCCGGAAGAGGAGAGUGGAAUUCCUGGUGUAGCGGUGAAAAUGCGCAGAUAUCAGGAGGAACACCGGUGGCGAAGGCGGAUCUCUGGGCCUUACCUGACGCUCAGGUGCGAAAGCUAGGGAGCGAACAGG
rnacentral:rRNA from 1 species